UCUGUCUGGUUUUUGAAUUAAUAUUUUAAAUUGUGUAUUUUGGGGCACUUUAGAAAUGUCCACGUAGUGUAACAGAUAUAAUCACGUGCUUCCAGUCUCCCCUAAUGUCUGCCCUUUGCCCCUCCUAGAUUUACCGCCGCUGCUGGCUGGUCCUGAGAAAGUCGUCUAGUAAGGGCCCAUGGCGGCUGGAAAAAUACCCCGAUGAACGGUCUGUGCUGCUCCGAACUUCCCCGAAGGU